rnacentral:siRNA from 1 species
GCAGCCGUACAAAAUGACGACA